UACGUAGGGAGCAAGCGUUGUCCGGAAUCAUUGGGCGUAAAGCGCGCGUAGGCGGCCCGAUAAGUCCGCUGUGAAAGUCAACGGCUCAACUGUUGGAUGCCGGUGGAUACUGUCGGGCUAGAGUACGGAAGAGGCAAGUGGAAUUCCUGGUGUAGCGGUGGAAUGCGCAGAUAUCAGGAGGAACACCGAUAGCGAAGGCAGCUUGCUGGGACGUUACUGACGCUAAGGCGCGAAAGCGUGGGGAGCGAACAGG
rnacentral:rRNA from 1 species